rnacentral:misc_RNA from 1 species
UACGGAGGGUCCAAGCGUUAUCCGGAAUCAUUGGGUUUAAAGGGUGCGUAGGCGGACAUAUAAGUCAGUGGUGAAAUCCCGAGGCUCAACUUCGGAACUGCCAUUGAAACUGUAUUGUCUUGAGUUUAGUUGAAGUAGGCGGAAUGUGUAGUGUAGCGGUGAAAUGCAUAGAUAUUACACAGAACACCGAUAGCGAAGGCAGCUUACUAAGCUACAACUGACGCUGAGGCACGAAAGCGUGGGGAGCGAACAGG